GGUGAAAAGAACCCCGGGAGGGGAGUGAAAAAGAACCUGAAACCCUAUGUUUACAAACUGUGGAACACCGAAAGGUGAACCGCGUACUUUUUGUAGAACGGUCCGGCGAGUUACAUGUACAGGCGAGGUUAAGUAUUAAAGAUACGGAGCCGAAGGGAAACCAAGUCUUAAUAGGGCGAUAAUAGUCAGUAUGUGUAGACCCGAAACCGGGUGAUCUAUCCAUGUCCAGGUUGAAGUUCGCGUAAAAGUGAAUGGAGGACCGAACGCACAUCCGUUGAAAAGGGUGGCGAUGAGGUGUGGAUAGGGGAGAAAUUCCAAUCGAACCCGGAGAUAGCUGGUUCUCCUCGAAAUAGUUUUAGGACUAGCCUCGUUAUUAGUCUACCGGAGGUAGAGCACUGAAUUUUUGCGGGGGCGUCAAAGCCUACCAAGAGAUAUCAAACUCCGAAUGCCGGCUAGAUGAUUGACGGGAGUCAGACUGCACGAGAUAAGUUGGGUAGUCAAAAGGGAAAGAGCCCAGACCUACGGCUAAGGUCCCAAAGUGUGUGUUAAGUGGAAAAGGAUGUGGGAUUUCGAAGACAGCUAGGAUGUUGGCUUAGAAGCAGCCAUACAUUAAAAGAGUGCGUAACAGCUCACUAGUCGAGAGGUCCUGCGCCGAAAAUGUCCGGGGCUAAACACAACACCGAAGCCUAGGAAUGUAGUAAUACAUUGGUAGAGGAGCAUUCUUAGAGGCGUAGAAGCCAUACCGGAAGGAAUGGUGGAGUAAUAAGAAGAGAGAAUGCCGGAAUGAGUAGCGAGAAAGAGGUGAGAAUCCUCUUGGCCGAAUAUCUAAGGUUUCCUGAGUAAAGCUGAUCUACUCAGGGUAAGUCGGGGCCUAAGGCAAGGUCGAAAGACGUAGUCGAUGGAUAACAGGUACAGAUUCCUGUACUACAUAUAAUCAGAACUGUGGGGACACGGAGACUAAAACCGAACCCGGGAGGACAAAAACCGGGGCAAGCGAAGUACCUGUAUGGGAGGAAAAACCACCAUGCAAGGGGAAAACGUGAUGCGUACCGAAAAUUAGUAGGGAAGUCGGUUAGGGAGCCGUCAAGAAAAGCCGCUAUUGUGUUAUAUGUACCCGUACCGCAAACCGACACAGGUAGAUGAGGAGAGAAUCCUAAGGCCGGCGGGAGAAGCAUUGUUAAGGAACUCGGCAAAAUGACCCCGUAACUUCGGGAGAAGGGGUGCCACUUUAAUAGAGUGGUCGCAGAAAAAAGGCUCAAGCAACUGUUUAGCAAAAACACAGGUCUAUGCGAAACCGCAAGGUGAAGUAUAUGGGCUGACGCCUGCCCGGUGCCGGAAGGUUAAGAGGAGAAGUCAGGAAACGAAGCUUUGAAUUGAAGCCCCGGUAAACGGCGGCCGUAACUAUAACGGUCCUAAGGUAGCGAAAUUCCUUGUCGGG
rnacentral:rRNA from 1 species